UGCCAGCCGCCGCGGUAACACGGGGGGCGCAAGCGUUAUUCGGAAUUAUUGGGCGUAAAGGGCGCGCAGGCGGUCUUGUCCGUUAGAUGUUAAAGCUCCGGGCUUAACCCGGAGAGGUCGUUUAAAACUGCUAGACUUGAGGACGGUAGAGGAAGGUAGAAUUCCGUGUGUAGUGGUGAAAUGCGUAGAUAUACGGAGGAAUACCAGUGGCGAAGGCGGCCUUCUGGCCCGCUCCUGACACUCAGACGCGAAAGCUAGGGUAGCGAACGGGAUUAGAUA
rnacentral:rRNA from 1 species